GUUGCGGACAGUGUCUGGUGGGUAGUUUGACUGGGGCGGUCUCCUCCCAAAGCGUAACGGAGGAGCACGAAGGUUAGCUAAUCCUGGUCGGACAUCAGGAGGUUAGUGCAAUGGCAUAAGCUAGCUUGACUGCGAGCGUGACGGCGCGAGCAGGUGCGAAAGCAGGUCAUAGUGAUCCGGUGGUUCUGAAUGGAAGGGCCAUCGCUCAACGGAUAAAAGGUACUCCGGGGAUAACAGGCUGAUACCGCCCAAGAGUUCAUAUCGACGGCGGUGUUUGGCACCUCGAUGUCGGCUCAUCACAUCCUGGGGCUGAAGUAGGUCCCAAGGGUAUGGCUGUUCGCCAUUUAAAGUGGUACGCGAGCUGGGUUUAGAACGUCGUGAGACAGUUCGGUCCCUAUCUGCCGUGGGCGCUGGAGAAUUGAGGGGGGCUGCUCCUAGUACGAGAGGACCGGAGUGGACGCAUCACUGGUGUUCGGGUUGUCAUGCCAAUGGCACUGCCCGGUAGCUAAAUGCGGAAGAGAUAAGUGCUGAAAGCAUCUAAGCACGAAACUUGCCCCGAGAUGAGUUCUCCCUGAGACUUUAAGUCUCCUGAAGGAACGUUGAAGACGACGACGUUGAUAGGCCGGGUGUGUAAGCGCAGCGAUGCGUUGAGCUAACCGGUACUAAUGAACCGUGAGGCUUAACCUU
rnacentral:rRNA from 1 species